rnacentral:misc_RNA from 1 species
GGUGAAGUGGUGGACGACCCAAAGUCUCGUUACACCAGUUAUCCUCUUUUUAGAAUAUUGCUUAAUAUACAGCAGUCCGCACAGCAGGCCUGGUUUAUGCAUUGGAUGAUCGGCAAAGAAACACUGCAGGAUCUUCCAUGGUACAAAGGACGGUUUUGAAGGUUGACGUUUCAUGCCAUAAAUGCAAGAAGAAGAUUCUCAAGGCUGUCUCUGACAUUGAUGGUGUAGAUAAGAUAGAAGUUGACGAAGGGAAGGGGACAUUGACGGUAACAGGAAGUGCAGAUCCAUAUGAGAUAAUAGUACGCACAAGAAAAGCAGGAAAACAUGUAGAGGUAGUGACUAUUGGGCCGCCUCCUCCACCACCUAAACAGCCACAGGCACAGGAUCAGCAAAAGAAGCCAGAGGACAAGAAGGAAGAGAAAAAACCUCAACAAAAGUCCCAAAUCCAUGAUCCCCUCACUUGUCCCCAGUGUCAGAGCAUUAUUGUUGUUCCAAUGGGCUAUCACGAGCGCAGCCCAUCAUGCUCGAUUAUGUGAUUUUUUUUCUAUAACUGAUAAUUUGCAGUGGGGGUUUCGCUGCUUCACCA